AUAUCAAUAAGCGGAGGAAAAGAAACCAACAGGGAUUGCCCCAGUAACGGCGAGUGAAGCGGCAACAGCUCAAAUUUGAAAUCUGGCCCCCCCGCGGGGCCCGAGUUGUAAUUUGCAGAGGAUGCUUUUGGCGCGGCGCCUUCCGAGUUCCCUGGAACGGGACGCCAUAGAGGGUGAGAGCCCCGUCUGGUCGGACGCCCAGCCUCUGUAAAGCUCCUUCGACGAGUCGAGUAGUUUGGGAAUGCUGCUCUAAAUGGGAGGUAUAUGUCUUCUAAAGCUAAAUAUUGGCCAGAGACCGAUAGCGCACAAGUAGAGUGAUCGAAAGAUGAAAAGCACUUUGAAAAGAGGGUUAAACAGUACGUGAAAUUGUUGAAAGGGAAGCGCUUGUGACCAGACUUGGGCGCGGCGAAUCAUCCGGCGUUCUCGCCGGUGCACUUCGACGCGCCCGGGCCAGCAUCAGUUCGCGGCGGGGGAUAAAGGCGCCGGGAACGUGGCUCCCCCGGGAGUGUUAUAGCCCGGCGCGCAAUGCCCCGCGGCGGACUGAGGUUCGCGCAUCCGCAAGGAUGCUGGCGUAAUGGUCACCAGUGACCCGUCUUGAAACACGGACCAAGGAGUCGUCCUCGUAUGCGAGUGUUCGGGUGUCAAACCCCUACGCGCAAUGAAAGUGAACGCAGGUGAGAGCCUCACGGCGCAUCAUCGACCGAUCCUGAUGUUCUCGGAUGGAUUUGAGUAAGAGCAUACGGGGCCGGACCCGAAAGAAGGUGAACUAUGCCUGUGUAGGGUGAAGCCAGAGGAAACUCUGGUGGAGGCUCGCAGCGGUUCUGACGUGCAAAUCGAUCGUCAAACAUGGGCAUGGGGGCGAAAGACUAAUCGAACCUUCUAGUAGCUGGUUUCCGCC
rnacentral:rRNA from 1 species